GACGAACGCUGGCGGCGUGCUUAACACAUGCAAGUCGAACGGAAAGGCCCUGCUUUUGUGGGGUGCUCGAGUGGCGAACGGGUGAGUAACACGUGAGUAACCUGCCCUUGACUUUGGGAUAACUUCAGGAAACUGGGGCUAAUACCGGAUAGGAGCUCCUGCUGCAUGGUGGGGGUUGGAAAGUUUCGGCGGUUGGGGAUGGACUCGCGGCUUAUCAGCUUGUUGGUGGGGUAGUGGCUUACCAAGGCUUUGACGGGUAGCCGGCCUGAGAGGGUGACCGGCCACAUUGGGACUGAGAUACGGACCAGACUCCUACGGGAGGAAGCAGUGGGGAAUAUUGCAAAAUGGGCGGAAGCCUGAUGCAGCAACGCCGCGUGCGGGAUGACGGCCUUCGGGUUGUAAACCGCUUUCGCCUGUGACGAAGCGUGAGUGACGGUAAUGGGUAAAGAAGCACCGGCUAACUACGUG
rnacentral:rRNA from 1 species